rnacentral:sRNA from 12 species
UGAUUUGCUCGUAGAGCGCGAGCAGCAUAAUAUAAAGAAAGCUCAAUUGAUG